rnacentral:rRNA from 1 species
UGCCAGCCGCCGCGGUAAUACGGAGGGGGCAAGCGUUAUUCGGAUUUAUUGGGCGUAAAGGGCGUGUAGGCGGCCUGGUAAGUUGAAGGUGAAAUCCCACGGCUCAACCGUGGAACUGCCUUCGAUACUGCCAGGCUAGAGUACGGGAGAGGGUAGUGGAAUUCCCAGUGUAGCGGUGAAAUGCGUAGAUAUGGGGAGGAACACCAGUGGCGAAGGCGACUACCUGGACCGUUACUGACGCGGAGGCGCGAAGGCGUGGGUAGCGAACGGGAUUAGAUA